rnacentral:rRNA from 1 species
AGGAGGAGCUUGCUCUUCUGGAUGAGUUGCGAACGGGUGAGUAACGCGUAGGUAACCUGCCUGGUAGCGGGGGAUAACUAUUGGAAACGAUAGCUAAUACCGCAUAACAGUAGAUGUUGCAUGACAUUUGCUUAAAAGGUGCAAUUGCAUCACUACCAGAUGGACCUGCGUUGUAUUAGCUAGUUGGUGGGGUAACGGCUCACCAAGGCGACGAUACAUAGCCGACCUGAGAGGGUGAUCGGCCACACUGGGACUGAGACACGGCCCAGACUCCUACGGGAGGCAGCAGUAGGGAAUCUUCGGCAAUGGACGGAAGUCUGACCGAGCAACGCCGCGUGAGUGAAGAAGGUUUUCGGAUCGUAAAGCUCUGUUGUAAGAGAAGAACGAGUGUGAGAGUGGAAAGUUCACACUGUGACGGUAUCUUACCAGAAAGGGACGGCUAACUACGUGCCAGCAGCCGCGGUAAUACGUAGGUCCCGAGCGUUGUCCGGAUUUAUUGGGCGUAAAGCGAGCGCAGGCGGUUAGAUAAGUCUGAAGUUAAAGGCUGUGGCUUAACCAUAGUACGCUUUGGAAACUGUUUAACUUGAGUGCAAG